CACAGAACAAGUACAUGAGAGCGAUUUCUUAUGGAAAAUUAAAUGGCGCAUAAGUCGUGUGCUCAGGUGCAAGUAGCUGGGCCAGAAGGACCUCGGCACGUUACGGAAUAUUUACUACAGGAACAGCAUGCAAGACAACAUGCUAGACACACGAAAGAUGGAAUAAAUGGAAGAAAAUGCAACACAGAUCUCAUGCUUAAGAGGGACAGAUUUACUCUGAAGAUUCAAUGAAAAAACAUCCACAAACAACUUUUCUACAAGAAACAAAACAUUUUAAAGAAAACAUUUACUUCAGCCGGGCGC
rnacentral:lncRNA from 1 species